AUUGAACGCUGGCGGCAUGCCUAACACAUGCAAGUCGAACGGGUAACAGGCCUUCGGGCGCUGACGAGUGGCGGACGGGUGAGUAACGCGUGGGAAUCUGCCUAGUAGUGGGGGACAACCUGGGGAAACUCAGGCUAAUACCGCAUACGCCCUACGGGGGAAAGCAGGGGAUCUUCGGACCUUGCGCUAUUAGAUGAGCCUGCGUCGGAUUAGCUUGUUGGUGGGGUAAAGGCCUACCAAGGCGACGAUCCGUAGCUGGUUUGAGAGGACGAUCAGCCACACUGGGACUGAGACACGGCCCAGACUCCUACGGGAGGCAGCAGUGGGGAAUAUUGGACAAUCGGGGGGCAACCCUGAUCCAGCAAUGCCGCGUGUGUGAAGAAGGCCUGCGGGUUGUAAAGCACUUUCGGAUGGGAAGAAAAGCUCAAGGCUAAUAUCCUUGAGUCUUGACGUUACUAUCAGAAGAAGCACCGGCUAACUCUGUG
rnacentral:rRNA from 1 species